CCCAGAAUAAAAAUACAGCAGAGACACGUGGAGGAAAGGAGCCGUCGGGACAAACGGCCAUGGGAAAUCCUGGAAAGACACCGAAGUCCCGCAGGAGCGAGGCACCCAGGUGGGCUGAGGACAGAUCCUGGCACCCCUGCUCCAAACUGGGAAGGUAUUUCUGGGGGUUUUCCCGAAUAUUCAGAGAGCAGCAGCGAUGCAGCCCUUGGGACAGAUGGCCACAGCCCCAAAACCUGCCAUUUUUGGGGUGCCCCUUGCUGUUGAGUGCACCUAGAGCCAACCACUGCCUUUUGGGAAGAAAUGCCAUUUGGGACGUGAAGAUGGCGAGCAGUCCGGGGAGCCACACUGCAGGUUUGAACUUGUAGAACAUUACUGCUCGUGAAUUAUGGAUAGUGAUUGCACCUCCUGGACGAUAAAUUAUUGAGCUGACAUGCUGGAGGGAGACCACACGCUGGUGCCCUGCGGAGGGGGGGGGAUGUUUGGCUCCCCCUGCUCCUCCCGAAGCUGCGGGAGCCCACCCGGUGCCACCGAGUCCCCCACGAGGGCAGCCACGGGUGACAGCCCCAGCUGGCGGGGGAAAUUUUGGCUCAGCCCUUGGUGCAGACCCGUUGGACAUGGAGCUCCUGGCUCGCUGGGGCUGCUCACACCUCUCCAAUGCACGGAGCUGGGUGUCCCCCUG
rnacentral:lncRNA from 1 species